UACGAAGGGGGCUAGCGUUGCUCGGAAUCACUGGGCGUAAAGCGCGCGUAGGCGGAUUGUUAAGUCAGGGGUGAAAUCCUGGAGCUCAACUCCAGAACUGCCUUUGAUACUGGCGAUCUUGAGUCCGGGAGAGGUGAGUGGAACUGCGAGUGUAGAGGUGAAAUUCGUAGAUAUUCGGAAGAACACCAGUGGCGAAGGCGGCUCACUGGCCCGGUACUGACGCUGAUGUGCGAAAGCGUGGGGAGCAAACAGG
rnacentral:rRNA from 1 species